UACGAGUGGUGCAAGCGUUAUUCGGAAUCAUUGGGCGUAAAGGGUGUGUAGACGGUAUGUUAAGUCAAUUGUUAAAUUCCCCGGCCUAACCGGGGGCCAACAGUAGAUACUGGCGUGCUAGAGGGUGGAAGAGAGAAGUGGAAUUCUCGGAGUAGCGGUAAAAUGCGUAGAUCUCGAGAGGAACACCAAUGGCGAAGGCAGCUUCUUGGUCCAUUUCGGACGUUGAAACACGAAAGCGUGGGGAGCGAACAGG
rnacentral:rRNA from 1 species